rnacentral:rRNA from 1 species
CUGCUGCCUCCCGUAGGAGUCUGGUCCGUGUCUCAGUACCAGUGUGGGGGACCUUCCUCUCAGAACCCCUACGCAUCGUCGCCUUGGUGGGCCGUUACCCCGCCAACAAGCUAAUGCGACGCAUGGCCAUCCGCAGCCGGUAAACCUUUGGACCCGAAGGGAUGCCCCUCCGGGUCGUUACGCGGUAUUAGACGGGGUUUCCCCCGAUUAUCCCCCUGCUGCGGGCAGGUUCCAUACGUGUUACUCACCCGUGCGCCGGUCGCCGGCGGAAGCGCGAACG